UUCGCAAUGCCCGAAAGGGUGACGAAGCGACGCCGCGUGUGGGAAGAAGGCCUUCGGGUUGUAAACCACUGUCGGGAGUUAAGAAAUGUAAGAAGUUAAUAGCGUUCUUACUUGACUAAGGCUCCGGAGGAAGCCACGGCUAACUCUGUGCCAGCAGUCGCGGUAAUACAGAGGCGGCAAGUGUUGUUCGGAAUUAUUGGGCGUAAAGAGCACGUAGGCGGCUUUGUAAGUCGGUUGUGAAAGCCUUCCGCUCAACGGGAGAACGGCACCCGAUACUGCAUAGCUUGAGUGCGGGAGGGGAGAGUGGAACUCUUGGUGGAGCGGUGAAAUGCGUAGAGAUCAGGAGGAACGCCGGAGGCGAAGGCGACUCUCUGGCCCGCAACUGACGCUGGGCGCGAAAGCUAGGGGAGCAAAAGGGAUUAGAUACCCCUGUAGUCCUAGCUGUAAACGAUGGGCACUAAGUAGAGGGGUUUU
rnacentral:rRNA from 1 species